AUCGAACGCUGGCGGCAGGCCUAACACAUGCAAGUCGAGCGAGCGGCGGACGGGUGAGUACUGUCUGGGAAACUGCCUGAUGGAGGGGGAUAACUACUGGAAACGGUAGCUAAUACCGCAUACCAUCAGAUGUGCCCAGAUGGGAUUAGCUAGUAGGGGGGGUAACGGCUAACCUAGGCGACGAGCCCUCGCGGGUCUGAGAGGAUGACCAGCCACAAUGGAACUGAGACACGGUCCAGACUCCUACGGGAGGCAGCAGUGGGGAAUAUUGCACAAUGGGCGCAAGCCUGAUGCAGCCAUGCCGCGUGUGUGAAGAAGGUCUUCGGGUUGUAAAGCACGUUCAGCGGGGAGGCGUUACCCGCAGAAGAAGCACCGGCUAACUCCGUGCCAGCAGCCGCGGUAAUAC
rnacentral:rRNA from 1 species